rnacentral:rRNA from 1 species
GAUGAACGCUGGCGGCGUGCUUAACACAUGCAAGUCGAACGAUGAAAGCGGGAGCUUGCUCCUGCUGGAUUAGUGGCGAACGGGUGAGUAACACGUGAGUAACCUGCCCUUGACUCUGGGAUAAGCGUUGGAAACGACGUCUAAUACCGGAUACGACCUUCGGAGGCAUCUCCUGGGGGUGGAAAGAAUUUCGGUCAAGGAUGGACUCGCGGCCUAUCAGCUAGUUGGUGAGGUAAUGGCUCACCAAGGCGACGACGGGUAGUCGGCCUGAGAGGGUGACCGGCCACACUGGGACUGAGACACGGCCCAGACUCCUACGGGAGGCAGCAGUGGGGAAUAUUGCACAAGGGGCGCAAGCCUGAUGCAGCAACGCCGCGUGAGGGACGACGGCCUUCGGGUUGUAAACCUCUUUUAGUAGGGAAGAAGCGAAAGUGACGGUACCUGCAGAAAAAGCACCGGCUAACUACGUGCCAGCCGCCGCCGUAAUAC